GACGAACGCUGGCGGCGUGCUUAACACAUGCAAGUCGAACGGAAAGGCCCUGCUUUUGUGGGGUGCUCGAGUGGCGAACGGGUGAGUAACACGUGAGUAACCUGCCCUUGACUUUGGGAUAACUUCAGGAAACUGGGGCUAAUACCGGAUAGGAGCUCCUGCUGCAUGGUGGGGGUUGGAAAGUUUCGGCGGUUGGGGAUGGACUCGCGGCUUAUCAGCUUGUUGGUGGGGUAGUGGCUUACCAAGGCUUUGACGGGUCGCCGGCCUGAGAGGGUGACCGGCCACAUGGGGACUGAGAGACGGCCCAGACUCCUACGGGAGGCAGCAGUGGGGAAUAUUGCACAAUGGGCGGAAGCCUGAUGCAGCAACGCCGCGUGCGGGAUGACGGUCUUCGGGUUGUAAACCGCUUUCGCCUGUGACGAAGCGUGAGUGACGGUACUGGGUAAAGAAGCACCGGCUAACUACGUG
rnacentral:rRNA from 1 species